rnacentral:misc_RNA from 1 species
UCCGUUUUAUCAACGGCAGUCUCAACAGAGUUCUCGGCAUUACCCGUUAGCAACUGUCGAUAAGGGUUGCGCUCGUUGCGGGACUUAACCCAACAUCUCACGACACGAGCUGACGACAGCCAUGCAGCACCUUGCAUCCUGCUUAGGUUUCCCUAAGAGGCUCCAUCUCUGGAGUUGUCAGGAGCAUUCUAGACUAGGUAAGGUUCUUCGCGUUGCGUCGAAUUAAACCACAUGCUCCACCGCUUGUGCGGGUCCCCGUCAAUUUCUUUGAGUUUCAGUCUUGCGACCGUACUCCCCAGGCGGAAUGCUAAAAGCGUUAGCUGCGGCACCGAGGCAAAGCCCCAACACCUAGUGAACAUCGUUUAUGGCCAAGACUAC